rnacentral:rRNA from 1 species
UACAGAGGAUGCAAGCGUUAUCCGGAAUGAUUGGGCGUAAAGCGUCUGUAGGUGGCUUUUAAGUCCGCCGUCAAAUCCCAGGGCUCAACUCUGGACAGGCGGUGGAAACUACCAAGCUGGAGUACGGUAGGGGCAGAGGGAAAUUCCGGUGGAGCGGUGAAAUGCGUAGAGAUCGGAAAGAACACCAACGGCGAAAGCACCCUGCUGGGCCGACACUGACACUGAGAGACGAAAGCUAGGGGAGCGAAUGGG